AGUUUUCAAUUUCGACGGUCAAGAUCUAUUUUCCCAGAUUUUUAUUAAGACUUAUAUCACCCAAUAUUCCUAUCUACUAGGUGAACUUUUGUUCUUUCAUCAUCUACAACCAAGAUUAUUACUAUUGUAUUAAGCAAAAUCAGCAUCGCUCUUGUUCUUGUUUACUUUUUUUCAACAGAUUACAGCUCCCAAAUCUCAAAAUUGAAAACUUGGCUCAUUACACAAUUCAAAUCCGCUUGCAAAAAAGUCUCCAAUUUCUACUGCACUCAUCGAAGAAUCACUCAUCUAUACAAUUUCACCACUGAUUCUCGAACUAAGUCUCAUGCUGCAACCAUCGUCGUCGACAACUUCCGUGAAAAGGGUCAUGAAUACCAUGCUCAAACGGCUCGUAUUAGAGAGAUGUUAGAGCGUAUCUGAAUGACACAAGAGAGUUUGCCGUCCAAUAUUGAUGAGGACAUCCUAUGCAGAGCCCAAGUAGCUGAGAAGUUAAGAGCUGAAACUACCAGCCAAGACCCCUACCGGAAAGCACAUCCACCUGAAAAGAUUAUUUGCUUCUAAUUAAUUAUUUCAUCUGUUUUGCUCGUCUAAGACCAUUAGAGGUCAGUUCUAAAAGCCGUCUAUGGCUUCGAUUCAAUCCAUACUCGUGGUGCUUCUGUCUUUUCUUCCUCUAGCCUCGGUGCUCCCUCCAGCUCUAUCGGUACUUCUUAGUUGUUCUUCAUAGUUGUUAGGUUUUGUUCCGUUUGCAAGUCGGUCAGCACCCUGGUUCUCAGGGUUUGUCCAUGUCUGGGUUUCUCUCCUCUUCGUGGGAUCUACGGGAUAUGAGGUCUCUUAGAUCUCAUUGGUGUGAUCUCAUUUUCCCAGCGCUGGAGUCAUUUCGCUCAGAGUUCUGCCUUCGGUGGAUGGGCUCAUCUGGCUUGUGCUAAGGAUCCGAUGAGCGGAUGUGGAGUGCGGCUGUCUUCAGCCUAUUUUGUAUAGUUCUUUGGAGUGUAGCUGCCUCGUGGCUGUUCGUCCGAGUAAUGCUCGUCUGUUAAUGCGGGUGUGCUUGGUUUCUGAUUUGGUUGUGCUUGUGUUGGUGGAUGCUCUUGAUGUCAUCGGCGAGCUGUUUUUAGUCGAAUCAAAUCUUAAAAAAAAGAUUAUCGGGGAGGCCAAAAUUACUGGGUUCCGUCUUUCAUUAUAAUUGUGGCUCUGCUUUUUGCGACAAGUGGUAAGUGCAGUUUGGUUGAGAGCAAUUCUAGCGGCUCGAUUUGUUGUGUUAGUCGCCGUUUAGACUUGUUCGAAUUGUUGUUUAGUUUUUUUUUUUCCAUUUUUUUGUUGACAUUUUACUUCUGUCAAAAUCUUAAAAAUUUGUAAUAAUAUCUUUACAUUUUUACCAAAAAAAUGAAAGACAUUUUCAACGAAGUAAUUUCAUACAAUUUGUUUAUA